GAAGAAACUAAAAACAGGCCAGCUGCAACACAGACUGAGAGCAAGCAUGAUGUGGGACAAGGUUGAGAAGUGAAAACAAAGAACGGUGAUGAAGGACCAAGGCUCUCCCACCCAUACUCAGAAAAAUAACGAUAAACAUGAUAGAAAAGAGAAAUCAACGAGAAGAGCGGCGAGGCGGAAAGGUCCAUCCGAUCCAUCCAAGCGUCCUCCUCAGCCGCAGCCAGGACGGACAAACUUCAGACCCAGGCCAGCGGCUCGCCAGGCCUGCGCUCAGGGCCACCCGGACGCGAGCGAGAGCAGAAGGGAGCGUAGCCUUCCAGCCCCGCAGAGGGCGGGUGCCGGGCGGAGCCAGACCGCGAGGAUCAAGGAGGGGUGAGUCACGGAGAGGAAGAGGAAGCAGCGCUCGGUGGGGACCGGAGGAGAAACGGGGCCUAGCUGAGAGAGGGCGGCCCUUCGAGGCCCUUUCUUUCCAAACCGGAGAGACCGGGGUUUCUGAGAAGGAGACCAGAGAGCCAGGACAAAGGAGCCACUUAGAAUGUGAAUGAGAAAGUACUCACGUGACCAACGCCCGGAGCGGCUGGUGGAGCCCCCAGCAGUGCCAAGUUUGAGCCCAGCGUGGGCAACUGGGCAAGUUUGAGCUCAGGAUGCUUCAAAAUCAAUAAUAAGGGCUCUCAUGUGGGUCAGUGACCCUUGGGUCAAUUCCUAGCACGCCAAAAAAAAGGGGAGGGGACACCACAGAAAGGUUUUUCCCGCUGAGGCAGAAGAGAAGGAAUGGGUUGUGAGAUUUUUUUUUUUAGGUGAAGAAUUUGGACGAUGGGUUCAUGGCAUUGGCCUCUGUCUUCCCAGUAAUAAUAGGAGCUAACAUUUAUUAAACAUUCUCCAUACGGCUACCUAAACUUCUUGUUUUGUUUUUGUUUUUUUUGAAACAAGGUCUUGCUAAAUAUAGUCCAGGCUCACCGUGGCUGCCUCACUGCUCACUGAAUGCUGGACUGCAGGCUUCACCACCACUCCCUGGUCUACACGAUUUUUAAUGUAUUGAUACAUUUAAUUCUCACCAUCAUCUUAUAUGAGUCUCACUAUGCAGCCCAGGCUGGCCUCAAACUCUGAAUCCUCCUGUCUCAGCCUCCCGAGUGCUGGAAUUACAGGUGUCCAACAGCAGAAGUGAAAUGAUUUUAACAAGGCCAUGCAUCUGUUAAAUGGUAGAGCACACACUUAUGUGUACCUGUAACAUAGGGAGCAAGGUGAUUUUCCAGGAGUAAAAGGAGAACUGGCUGGAGAAAAGAGAAAGGGGAAAUUGGGGAGGUGAGAAUAUGAAAAGUUUAGAAUAGCCAGAGUGAAAACUAUGCUUCCGAGCAUCUCCUGUCUGCACCUGUGAUCCAGCCUCUCAACUUGAGACCCACCAUCGGAUUCCUGCACCUACUCCUUCAGCCUUCUCUGGCUGCUAAAGAUGAUUCCACCCUUCCAUUUGGAUUCUGGGGUCUGGGCCUACCCUUGGGGCAGGAUUCUCUUGGGGGAGCUGAAGGGGCAGAGAAUGAUUCUGGCUGUCAGAGACAGGACCUGACAUGACCCACAAAUCACGGCAUCCUUGCUGAACCUUUUAAAAGUGUAUGCUUAUUAAAAAAAAAAAAAAGUGUGUACUUAUGAUGGCCUUAGAACUGGAUUUCAGUAGACCCUGUGAUUUGUAGAAUAUUGUCUUAUUCAAAGUGACUUAAAAAGGAACAAGAGGGCUGGGAUUUAGCUCAGUGGUUCUGGAGCCUGCCUCACAAUUGCAAGGACCAGAGUUCGAUCCCUGGUACCAAAAAGAAAAAAAAAAAAAGAAACAAGAGACCCUGGAAUCUAGCUCAGUGGUGCCACCACACAAGGACCCAGGUUCGAUCCCUGGUACAAAAAAAGGAACAAGAGAGCUUCUCUCCCCUUCUCCCCCUCUCCCCCUCUCCCUCUCCCCUCUCCCCCUCCCCCUCUCCCCCUCCCCUUACACCCUCCCCCAUGUUUGGACCGCAUUUGUUAGCAAGUUCAUGCCUGGGGCAUGAACAUACAUGUUCACCUCCAGGUUGUCAGGGCCAGGCAAAAUUGAGAUAGGAAAGCACAAAAGGUCUCCAACCGCCUUAUCACAGCCUUUUGCAGGGUAUGGCAAUAGGGAGUGGCCCUAGAAGUGGGCUUUAGAAGAGGAGCAACAUGGGCUGGGGAUUUAGCUCAGUGGCACCUUGCCUGCCUUGCAAGCACAAGGUCCUGAGUUCCAUCCCCGGUACCGGAAAAAAAAAAAAGGAAGAGGACCAAUGAGACCUUUGUGUGGCACCUGAGGAGGCUGGGGGACUAGUGAAUUAGGGUCCUCCUCGUGUGGCCAAAACAGCCUGCUGCAGUGAUGGAGCAGAAGCCUCAGUGAGAUGAAAGCAAAUGGGGAAGAAGCCAAACAAGGGGAAGUGUGGCCGGAAAGGUGUGCCAUGGUGUUUCUGCUCUGCAUUGCCUGGUUGUCGUCCUUGCUUUGCAGUUGGCUGAUUAUGGUCUGAAACCUCUAUGAAUCUGGGGCCCAAAGUAACCUGGGCCAAUAUUUUAUUGGCCGGACAGCUCCAGACAUUAGAAGGAAGCUCCAAAAACUCCAACAGGCCCUCAGACAGGAGUGCAUCAACUGGUCAACUUGGCUUUCAUGGAGUUUAACAACGAGACGGAGAGGACAAAUGGGAAUUAAGUAAGGAAGACAGACUAAAGACAUGCUGGUCCUCACGCAUCAGGUCCAUAACAAAGUCCACAGCACCAAGGGGAUCCGGGGUAACCUACAAAGUGACAGAGGGAAGUCUGGGUACUUUAUGUGCAAGCAGUUGGGACACUGGGCUAAAGAGUGACCUCAAAAGCCCAAGUUCAUCAGAAUAGAGGUGAGGGAGGCUGAGGCAUGAGGAUCACCAUGAGUUAGUCUGAGGGCAGGCUGGGCUACAUAAUGAGACCCUGUCUCAAAAAAAAAAAAAAAAAAUGGGUGAGGACCCUUGGCACUGGAGGAGGGGCUGCCCUGGUUCCCAGAAGGGGUCAAGGUCAUCCACCACCAUGGCAGCCAGGGAAGAACGCCCAGAAUUCAGUGUGCAAGGACAUCCCCAUGACCUUGGAAGACUCUUGGGCAACUCUGGGCAUCACAGGGAUACAAGGGCCUCUUACUCUAUCCCAACCUCCCAUGGGACAAAUUGUCAUCCCAUUCCUCAGCUGUGUGGGCCUUGAAGGAGGUAACUAGUCAGUUUUCCCUACAACCCCCAACUGCUGGUUGGGGGGAUUUCCUAUCCAAAUCGCCUUCAUGCUAAUACCAGCAUGCCCCGCACCAGUCACUGGAAGAUCUGUUCCUCCUGUUCGAGGCCACCUUGUCAUUCAAACCUCUGGCAACUCAUGUCAUACUUGCCAGGAACCCAGCCAACCUGGCCCUGUCGAGCCCAGUUCCUUUGCCAGGAGUUGAUCCCGAAACUUGGCAUGAUGGCACCCUGGGGUGGGUGAUCGAUCACUCAGCUCAAGGAUGCUAACCUAUACCCUCAUAAAAAGGCAACACCCCCUCCAAAGAGAGGCUCCACCAGGCUAGAGCCCAUUAUUGAUAAAUUUUUGGCUGCAGGAUGGCUAUAGCCACUCCAGGCCCUGUGUAACACACCUAUCUUAACAGUGGUCAAAACACUAGGCGAACAUCGCCUAGUGCAAGAUCUCAGUCAUCAGUGAGGCCUGGUGCCUACUUCCACCCCGGGGGCACAGCCCACACACAGCAGGGAUCCUGGGAGAUACCAGCUGGGUCCAUCCUUCAUUCCAAAGAAGCUUCCUUUUCUAUCCCCUUGGGCCCUAGCUCCCAGUACUUGUUUGCCUUCUAACUGAGGAUCCCCAAAAUCGGCCCCACUAGCAGUCCUGCUAGACUGUCUUGCCUUAGGGUUUAGAGACAGCACUCCUUUCCCACACCCUGGAAAGCUAAACGUGGACAAAGGAGGCCUAGUACAAGCCUCUCAGAACCUUUGGCAUUCCUAGAGCAACAACAGUGUCUUGUUAUUCAUACAGAGCCCUUCCAGGAACUCGGGGUUCAGACUACAGAGGUAACUUAGGUGCAGAACUCACACAGCCUUGGGCUAGGGUAGGUCCUCCAGAGGGACCAAAGGAUUUCUGGGUUGGGAUUUUCACCCCAACCCAGGGCCCCCAGAGACGGAAGGUGGAUACCUUGCCCUAAGUAUCUGUUCAUCUGUUCAGCCACCUGCAUCCUUUAUGAUGUCAGACUUUAAUCUUAAUAGCAGUAUAGGAUUUGUUUUAGUGAUUUUUAAUAGCAUUCCUGAUCAUUCAAUAAAGAGAAAUGAAAGUGAAA
ensembl:lncRNA